UUUAAUUGUUGAUCCCUGAUUGCAAUAAGGAUUCUCGCUUGAAAUUUGUAAAAAUAUAAAUUCUCAGAUGAUAAUAGAUUAACAUGAAAAAUAUGUUUUUCAUCAAUUUGCUUACCUAAUGAAACAUGGAAACAACUCAAGCAACAAUUGGUAAAUUGUCUGCUUGGAGUUAUAGUUUGGGUCUCCAGGUUUAUUCUAUCGUACGUGUGAGUGUUUCCCUUGGAGAUCGUCAUGUUAUAGCAUUUGGAGAUGCUUAUGAUCUCGCUUUAGCUUGUGAUUUCGGAUGUUAAAAUUUAGCUAAAGAGAUACGUUCUCUGGAACCAUCUUUUAUGUUGCCUCGUUUUGUUAUUGGGCUACUUAAUCAUCGAGGACAUUGCUACUUGAUAGCUGCUUUGGUUCCACUUCUACAUUCUUUUCCGUUCCUUGAAUUCCUUCUAAAGGAUCAUGAGAAGUUUCUUCUGCAAUAUUUGGCCGGUAGAUUAACUGGAAACAGUAAUUGCAGUGAUAGAACUGAUGAAUGAUGAUCAUGGAUCCAGAUCUUAUAAUGGAUCGUGGUGAUGCUGGUAUUGAAUUUAACCCUGAAUGUUUUCAGGAGGUUCCUACAAAAUGGGUUUUGAAUGGUCUUCUCUAUGACGAGUUGGUUGACGCUUUGUGUCUUUAUUGUAAUCCCAAUUAUGAUAACUUCAAAAACGGAGGUGAUGAGAAAAAUUCUUACUGUGACAUUAUCACGCUUCUAAUAGGAGUGUUUAAUGUGACCAUCAUAUCCGUUUCUUGGUUCAGCCUUAUUUGUCAAUGCUUCACGAAUUUUGGCCUUCGCAGUUGAUUUCAAAGAAAAUGCUGAACUCUCUUUACUAACUGAGUUAAUGCUAGAUGUGAGCGGAUUUGUCCAUUCAUAUGUACAUUUUUCUUCUACGGUAUGUUUUACCUGCUACAAAAGUUCUGCUGGUUUAGACUAUGGGGGUUUUUAUCAUCCAUUUCAAGAUGAUGACAAGGCAGGCGAAGAACACACUUAUGUUCAUAUGAGGAUGAAUGAUGACUUUUAUGAUGUAAACAAUGAUUAUAUUUACACCCUCGAUAAACGAUUACAUUUGAAAUCAAUGUGCGGUUCGCUCCAUUUUAUCAUUUGGAAGAGUAUUCUGGUCGCUAUUCCGAGGUUAAAGAGGGCGAUGUUUAUGUAAACCCAUUAUUGUAACUUUGUUUUCACUAUAAAUGUGAUUCUAAUUUUAAUUUUAAUAGGUCACUAAGUGACUCUUUGAAUUUUAAACGAAUAUUAAAACCCUAAUUUU